rnacentral:tRNA from 1 species
AUCUAGAUAGUUUAAGUAAAAUAUUGGUUUGUGGUGCCGAUGAUAUGAAUUUUUGUUUUAGAUU